rnacentral:rRNA from 1 species
GACGAACGCUGGCGGCGUGCUUAACACAUGCAAGCCGAACGGAAAGGCCCUGCUUUUGUGGGGUGCCCGAGUGGCGAACGGGUGAGUAACACGUGAGUAACCUGCCCUUGACUUUGGGAUAACUUCAGGAAACUGGGGCUAAUACCGGAUAGGAGCUCCUGCUGCAUGGUGGGGGUUGGAAAGUUUCGGCGGUUGGGGAUGGACUCGCGGCUUAUCAGCUUGUUGGUGGGGUAGUGGCUUACCAAGGCUUUGACGGGUAGCCGGCCUGAGAGGGUGACCGGCCACAUUGGGACUGAGAUACGGCCCAGACUCCUACGGGAGGCAGCAGUGGGGAAUAUUGCACAAUGGGCGGAAGCCUGAUGCAGCAACGCCGCGUGCGGGAUGACGGCCUUCGGGUUGUAAACCACUUUCGCCUGUGACGAAGCGUGAGUGACGGUAAUGGGUAAAGAAGCACCGGCUAACUACGUG